AGGAUAUCCUAAUGAGCCUAAUUGGUAGCAUGAAUGUGACUCCCUUGAGAAUAGAGAUAGAAAGAAACCAGACAGACACAGAGACAGAUAUUUUGCUGAAAAGCUGAAAAAAUUUCCUGAGUUGCACAGAGCCUUUUUAUGCUGAUUUCCCUCUGCUUCUGAUGGACGCUAUUUGCUGUAUACUCUGCUCCUGUUGCUUCUCUUGCUUCCUUAGCUUCCCAGACUGACAGCAACAUUUGUUUCUGAUAGUUUGAAUCAGUGUCAAAGAGUCUGAGACCAGCAGCAGGUAGAUUAGAGGGGUUAUCAUCUUCCUGUGGGCAGAGUUUUGGCACUGCAAUUUACCAGGAUUUUUGCAGGUAGAGCCUACCACGAUGCUUUGAUCAGACAUAGCUGUGUCCGUGUAAAAAAAGUACUGAUGGUAGGAUGCUCAAAUAAUUUCCAAACAAGUUUGAUACCCAGAGUUUUUAAACUCAAAAUGUCACAUAGAGGUGUGCUGAUGAAAUGCCUAAUUUUAUUUAGCUGCCUCUGAGAGAGCACGGGAACUUGAAAUGCUGUAUUUAUUUACAGAUAUUUCUUUCUAUUGCUUACCGUGUGAGAAUAUGUAUGUGGGUGUAUGUGUGUGAGGUGAAGAUACGGUUCAUCAGCAGAUUUUGAUUAAUGAAAAUAUUAAUUGAAAAUAUCAUGGACUGAAAAAUCCAAGCCCAAGCAAUAUGCAGGCUGCAUCCCUUGUUAAGACUUCCCAAAUGGCAGGCUUUUUCCAGUGGACAGUAACUAAGGAAACAUGAGAACCAACACCUGCUGUACUGCUGAGUCUGAACCCAGAACAAACGCGCACACUGGGAGUGAAUGAAAAGUGGAAUUAUGUGGAGAAGCAAUGCUUGCUGAGGCAUCAAUUGAAUUAUAGAAGCAAGCAACCUAUAUUGAUCCUUUCUU
rnacentral:lncRNA from 7 species